rnacentral:rRNA from 1 species
CGGUUAAAAAGCUCGUAGUUGGAUUUCUACCGUAGACGAUCGGUCCGCUCUUUGAGCGUGUAUCUGAUUCGGCUAUGGCAUCCUCGUGAGUUGCGUUGCUGUGCUUGAUUGCAUGGUGCGAAGUUCACGACUUUUACUUUGAGGAAAUUAGUGUGUUCACAGCAGGCAAUUGCCCUGAAUAUAUUAGCAUGGAAUAAUAAUAUAGGACUUUGGUCUUAUUUUGUUGGUUUCUAGGACUAAAGUAAUGAUUAAUAGGGAUAAUUGGGGGCAUUUGUAUUAACGCGUCAGAGGUGGAAUUCUUGGAUUGCGUUACGACAAACUACUGCGAAAGCAUUUGCCAAGGAUGUUUUCAUUGAUCAGGAACGAAAGUAUGGGGAUCGAAGAUGAUUAGAUACCGUCGUAGUCUAUACCAUAAACUAUGCCGACUAGAGAUUGGAGGUCGUUCUUUCCAUGACUCCUUCAGCACCUUAUGAGAAAUCAAAGUCUUUGGGUUCCGGGGGGAGUAUGGUCGCAAGGCUGAAACUUAAAGGAAUUGACGGAAGGGCACCACCAGGAGUGGAGCCUGCGGCUUAAUUUGACUCAACACGGGAAAACUCACCAGGUCCAGACAUAGUAAGGAUUGACAGAUUGAUAGCUCUUUCU